rnacentral:lncRNA from 1 species
CUCAGUUUGUUCUGGCGUCCUAGUCCCGCUUCUGGAGUCAGGUUGCACCUCCUGCCUCAGAAGGAUCAAGUUCCAGUUGCCCACAUUGGUGCAAAUCUGCCCCACAAAAGACAGCUUUGCAGGGCUCCUUGUGUUUGCAGGCCCUCUGAACAGCCAGCUCAGAAUAUGCCUAAGACACAUAUUUUGGGGUGAAGUAUUUUGGUUUUGUGAUAUCACAUAAUUCAAACUUAAAAUAAUUUAAACUUAAAGUUAUUGGAAUUUUACCUUAUUCUGAGCCUUGUGAGGAACAUGGCUAUGCAGCAGAGUCACGUGGAAUGCAGCUGCGGCUUCCGCUUUUUUCUGCUCGUAAAUAAUUAUAACCCAACAGUGUCAAGACCCCCUUAGGUCACUAACCCUCUUCCUGGAGUGGAGUCAUCUUCCUUGGAAUGGAACAAUAUGUGACUGAUCAGUUUGCUCCAGCUCUGCCCUGUUAUCCUGUGGAAAGUGUCCUGAUCUCACCGAUGUUUCUGUCUCUGGCUUUAGAAGUGAAACAAACACCAGCUCUCCCUAUUCAUUUGGGGUCGGCGUCUCCCAGACGGGCAUCCUCAAGCUGUGUGCCCAAAUAAACUCCACCCUUAAUCA